AGGACAGUCAUAUUUAUCGAAAGCGAUGCAAUAGUCUAUAAUCUUCUGUGAACAUUGUAAAUAAUCCGUGCUGUAAAUGUUGCAAUAGUGAAAUAUGGCGGAUACGUCAGUAGGAAACAUUAAUGAUGCAUCAGAUAUUUCAGUGACAGAGUCGCUGAAUCUUAAUAUUGAAGAGCUUGAUGAUGCAGAAUAUGACAUUCCCCCAGUUGAUUGUACCCCAACACUGGAAAGUAUUCUCAAUGGUUUGGAAGAUCAGACCUCACUCAGUGAAGAUGAAAUAUCCAAUUCCAUGGUUCCUGCCACAGAAGGUGGUUUUGAAGGCAGUGAGACCCUAUCAUUAGGCAGCCUAGAGAGCAGGAGUCGCAGUUCAUCAGAGCGCAGACAUGAGGCUCGUGGAGGUAGUCGGUGGAACAAUAUUAAUACUGGAGCUACUCAUAGAACAGGUUCCAUUUUGCGUCAUGUCAUACUCAAGGGCAUAUCGACACAGUUAACAUCAGCUUCUGAGCGUGUGAAUGCCGGACUGCCCACAGCCAUGGCCGCAACAACAAUGAUUGCAGUUGGAACUUCUCAUGGACUGGUGCUUGUGUUCGAUGCAGCACAGACUCUGCGAUGGUGCAUGGGAGAAACUGCUCAAGAUCAGGGCUCUGUUGCCAGUUUAAGUUUCAAUCAUGACUGCACCAGACUGCUGGCUGGUUUUGCCAGAGGACAUAUACUUAUGUUUGAUAUAGUCAGUGGGAAGCUCCUGAGGACAAUGUCAGACGUGCAUCCCCCUGGCACAGCAGUUCUGCAUGUCAAGUUCACAGACUCUCCUACAUUGGCAUUGUGUAGCGACAGUGGAGGAUCUGUGUUUGAGCUCAACUUCCGACGCACCAUGGGUAUCCGGGGCUGUGAUUCUAAGUGCUUGUUUUCUGGCAGCAGGGGUGAAGUUUGCUGUUUGGAGCCUUUGCUCUUACAUCAGUUAAAUGUACAUCCAUUGCAUGGUGUUGUCCUUGUUGCUAUGGCCACUCUGUCUAAGGUUAUAGUUGUCAGUAUUCGACCAAGGAUGAGGGUUCUCUUCACGCAGUCUUUGCUUCACACUAGUCCAGCCACUCUGCCUCUUCUUGCAUGGCAGUUUGUCAUAAUUCAGACGGUAGAUGGAACACGAGUUAUUGAUCCUGUUCUAGCUUUUGCAAGAGAAUCUACUAUAUUUUUCUAUCAGGUGUCUGUUGUGGAUGGAAGAAGCAAGAUCCGAUUUGUUCCCCUUCAGCGGCUCACUGUAUCGUACCUACUACUAAGUCUGCAUUGGCUCAACACACGUACUCUGGCCACUGUGGACACUAUGGAACAGCUUCACCUGUUGGAUGUGCGGACACAGGAGGAACUAGAAGUUCUGGAUUUAGCAGAAGUUCGCUUGGUGUACGGAACAAGUCACUUCAAAGGACUGGCCACAGGUGGCAAUGUCAGUAAAGCUAUGGCGUUAGCUGGUGAACGUGCAUGUUACAACUCAAUCGUUAGCUUUGGAAAUCAGAUGCUGCUGUUGGGAACGAAGAUGUUCCACGUGUUAACUAUUCGCGCAUGGGAUGAACGACUGAACCAUCUCAUUAAGCAGAAUCGGUAUUUGGAUGCACUGAUGUUGGGAAUGGCAUUCUAUGAAGACAAAGGCAAAGCAGUAGUGGGCCUUAAAGGCCCAAAACAGAAGCGCAAAGAAGUGGCACGCAAAAAGGUGUUGGAAAUUCUACAUACGUAUAUUGGGGAGAUUUUGGAGCCUGGCAAUGGGGAUAUGGAACUCUGCCAAGAGGCUCUGCCUGCUUGUAUUGAGUACUGCAUCGAACUGGAUGUCAUAGAUGUUCUAUUUGGAAAACUUUGGGAGGCAUGCGUCCAUCAUGUAGCACAAGCAUGUUACCUGGAAUCACUUGAACCAUGGAUUCUAAGUGAUCAUCUGCCUCUAGUUCCUCCAUCCAUCACACAGCAGUUUGUGCAUCACUACAAGAAACAGGGAAUGCUUGAGGCACUAGAAGCUUGCAUUGUGCACCUAGAUGUGUCUUCUCUAGACAUUGAUCAGGUUAUGAGGCUUUGUCGAACCAGUGGUCUUUAUGAUGCAAUGAUACACAUUCUUAAUCGUGGGUUGAGAGAUUAUGUCACUCCCCUGGAGGAACUGAUGCCUAUACUUCAGACAGCACUAGCGACAGGUAAGCAAUUGAGUGACAGCCACAUUGCACUGGGCAAUAAACUGCUUGUGUACAUCAGCUGUUGUCUUGCUGGCAGAGCAUACCCUCUGUCUGGUGAUGUCCCUGCAGAAGACAACCAGAGAGUGAGACAUGAAGUAUUCAAAUGUCUCACAUGUCUCCACAGCAAGAAUGCAGCUGACUCCGAGCAACCCUAUCCUUACUUGAGGGCUUUACUUCACUUCGAUACCAGAGAAUUCCUGAAUGUGUUAGCCCUGGCUUUUGAAGAGCCUGAGUUCACAUCUGAACUGGGUCUGCGGCAGGUGCAGAGGCUUGUUGACAUCCUGCUACUGGUCAUGGUUCAGCAAGGUGAUGGUUUCACGCCUAGUCAAGUAGGGUCCUUGUUCACUUUCUUGGCCCGUCAGUUGGCCAAACCGUGGUGCAGCCUGCAUGUGGAACGCCAGCUGUUUGAACAAGUGGUAGAAUUUCUUACCAUAGACUCUGGUUCCAGUAGCACAAUGGGACAUCAUGAGGAGCGGCAACAGGCACUCCUGGAACUAAUGAGGGCAGGAGGCCUUGCACAUUAUGACCAAGACAAACUGCUACGGCUAGCUGAUAAAGCUGCUUUUUACCGGGUAUGUGAGCACCUGUAUGAGCAGAGACGGCAGUACGACAGAAUUCUUCACUGCUACCUAAGAGAUCCACUGAGAAAGCCGCAAGUGUUUUCAUACCUUCGGAACAUCCUCUUGCUCUACACCAGUGCUGCUGACAGAGCUAAAGUGGAGACACAGAUUGCUGACAAUAUAAGGGAAUUGCUGGACAUUGAUGCAACCAAGACAGGCCAGGUUCUCCUGCAGCAUGUACCUCAGCUUGUGCCAAGAAUAGUUGGGAUAUUACAGGAGGAGCCCAGAGUGUUGUUUCAGUUUCUACAGGGCCUCUUUGAUUGCAGGGAGGCACACUCCAGUCUGGCCCAGCUAAAAGAUGAGUUGAAUUUUGAUCCAGCAUUAGUAGAGCGGUACAUUGAGCUUCUCUGUGAGUUCAGUCCUGAGAAGGUCUACCCAUAUGUUACAAGCAGCGAUGGUUACCGGCUUGAUAAUGCCAUACAGAUCACCAAGAGGUUCUCUCAAGUUGAAGCCACAGCAUUUCUUCUGGAGAAGACUGGAGACUUCCAGGGUGCACUGAGCCUUAUGAUGGAGAAGGUGACUGGACUCCUAGCUGAAGGAGUUGCUGAAAACAUCGACACAGAUGAGCUGCGCAGUUUGUUCAAUAAGUGUGUUGGCCUGUGUCAGCGCGGCUCUGCCAUGUUAGAUGAAAAGUCACGUGAAGCUCUCUGGUUUCCUCUGCUAGAAACUUUAAUGCGCCCACAAAGGAGGGAGAAACCUGUAAGUUUAUCAGAGCUGAAGGAGCUGACACAGCAGUUGCUCACAUCAAUGAGUGGUUAUGUAUCAUUGCCUGCAGUGAUUCAGGUCAUACUCAUGGACCCAGCUUACAAGGGAGGGAAGUUCGGUGACAUUAGAGAGCUCAUGAUGGGUAUGCUAAGCAACUCUUGCUAUGAGGAGACCCUUCUGCAGGCAACUGCCCAUUUGUUAAGCACUGAUCUGCAUCAUCGCUUGGCAAAACUGUUGGCAGCAUCAAACCAGGGAAUUUCACCCUGCAGCCUUACCUGUGCCGUAUGUCAAAACUUUCUGCAUGUCCUUAAGGAUGAUGAUCGAAGUAUUGUUUUUAGGUGUGGCCAUGCAUAUCAUGCAAGUUGCCUGGAGGAACCGUGGCAGUGUUGCCACUGUUCCACUGCAAGCCCCAUCACUGCUGCCUGCCCCCCAGUAAUGCCACAGCCUGUUAUAUCGCCAACCAGAGCUGCACCUACCUCGCUGGCCUCCCAGGGUCUUCUUCAGAGUCAGGACUUUGGUCUUAGAUUGGCACCUCCACCACCUCCAGACCUGGAGGGAGUAUUCUAGUCGGCAAGUGGUUCAGUAGGUUUUUGGAUCAAGAUGUGGUGCUAUACUGCUGAAUAAGGCUGAUGUGAGGCAGUUGGGUGUGACGUGCAAUAUUGUUCUGCUGAACAGGGCCAGUGUCAGCCAACCUAUGUGACACUGUGGUGCUGUACUCGUGAACAGGGCUGGUGUGAGCCAGAUGGAUGUGACAUGAUACUGUUCUGCUGAACAGGGCCAGUGUCAGCCAACCUAUGUGACACUGUGGUGCUGUACUCGUGAACAGGGCUGGUGUGAGCCAGAUGGAUGUGACAUGAUACUGUUCUGCUGAACAGGGCCAGUGUCAACCAACCUAUGUGACUGGUGCUGUACUGGUGAACAGGGCUGGUGUGAGCCAGAUGGGUGUGACAUGAUACUGUUCUGCUGAACAGGGCAAGUGUCAGUCAACCUAUGUGACUCUGGUGCUGUACUGCUGAACAAGACUGGUGUGAGCCAGUUGGGUGUGACAUGCGAUAUUGUUCUGUUGAACAGGGCCAGUGUCAGCCAUCCUAUGUGACACUGUGUUGCUGUACUGCUGAACAGUACUGGUGUCAGUUAAUCUGAUGUGAUGUUGUGGUGCUGUAGUGCUGAACAGUGAUUGUGUCAAGUCAAUAUGAUGUGGCAGUGUGGUGCUGUACUGCUGAACAGUGCUGCUAUUAGCAGGUUCGGUUUGACAUUUGAUCCUGUUCUGCUGAACAGAGCCAGUGUUAGUCAAUCUGUGUGACAUGGUGCUAUACUUCUGAACAGUACUGGCGUCAGUCAGUGUGAUGUGACAAUAUAGUGCUGUUCUGCUGAACAGGGCUGGUGUCAGACAGUCUAAUGUGUCAUGGUGCUGUACUGCUGAACAGUAUUGGUGUCAGUCAAUGUAAUGUGACAUUACAGUGCUGUUCUGCUGAACAGGCUGGUGUCCAUCAGUUGGAUGCACAAACAUAAGACUAUUAAGGGAAAUAGCUUGUCUGAAAUUCCAAAUUUGGUAUUUUUAUUUAGCAGAAGGUACACUGUUAAAGAAACUUUCUUUUUACAAUAUGAAUGAUUAUGCUUACCAUAAUAUGAAUAUAAACAAUAUAGAAAAUAAGGUAAAGGUCAAAAUAUGGAACUAAAACCAGUUUUGUUAUUACAUAUUAAAAUAUCAGGUGCUUAUGUAAACGUGAGAUGGUUACAUAGGAUAGGAGAGACAUGUGCUUAUGAAGCAGACAGACCAAACAUUUAAUAUUUUGCCCAUGGUAUUAAUGUUCCUCAUAUAAUAAUUUGUUAUGUGUUGUUUCUUAAGUUUAGGAAUAUUUAUUUUUUAGUUUUAGCAUGUGUUACAGAGUGUAUCUCAAGUCACAGUAUUUGGCAGCUACAUCAUAGUGUGGGUGAGUGUGAGCAACAGGCCAGCAUAGAACUUUCCCAUGGAUAGGACACAUUGGCAAUAAAGACACUGCAUGUGUUUCAGGUGAUCUGCACUGAAUAUGCAGUAGCUUGGCUGAAUGUGCCAGAAAGAUGUAACAAGAUGAGGGUUCAUUGAAUUGCUGCAUGAGAGUCCAACCUUGAAUGUUACAGAACGAGAUGAGCAUGAGACAGAUGCAAGGAGUUGUGUGUUCUGGUUGUCAUUAGAGAGGAAAGAGAGCCUGGCGAUUUCUUGGUGAAGGUCAUUCACCAGUGAAUUUUGGAGGAAGGACUUGGAGCCAAGCUGUACUCAACCUGUAUGCAUCUUCGCAGUUGAGAUUACAGAGGUGUUCUGUAGUUUCAAUGGCUUCCCUGAUGAUGUAGGGAGCUGUAGGUCCAAAUACUGGCUGCUACCUCUGUUCUGUUAAAGUCCUUGAAGAACAUGGAUGUUUAAUGAAACAGAUUCUUCAAAAUAUGAUUCCUGAGUCAAAAGAUAUAACAGAUGUAUUGGAUGCAUGUAGAAGACGUCCACUGCUGGAUGUACAGAAACUGUUAGCUGCUGCUCAACCUGAUAUGGAAAGGAAAAGGCUUGCAUGUUUAAUUUAUAAUAAACAUAAAAGAUCAUUUCUUGUGGACAUGAAGAAAAUUCUGAAAACAUUUCUAAGUACAUCUAUUCCAGCAGAUAUGGAAAAAAAUGGUAAACCAUUCAUUCAUUUCCCAAUGAUUACCCUCAGUGAAAUACUGAAAUUCCAUAAAGAAUUUUCUGUUCCUGUAUCACCAAAUAUUAAUAAUUUCCACAGUAAACUAAAACAUUCCAUUGUAUCAAUUAGUCAAUAUAUGAAUGCUAAAGCAGAAGAGAUAUCAGAAUUUCCAAAAUUUUAUGACACUUCCACCAUCAAAGAUAACAAUAUACAUAGAAAAGAAAGUGAUGAGAAACAUCAGCUUCCAUUUUCUACAUCUUAUUUAUAUAAAGUCAAUAACUUGGCUUCUACGGGCAAGCAGCAUCCUCACAUUAGUUCAUCUCUGAGUACCCAUUUAAAAUCAACUAAAUCUUUUCCUGGCAAGAAAGCUUCCCAUUCAUUUUUUAAUUCUGUAUCAAAAAUUAUUCCUCUCCUUAUGAAAAAGCAUGGUGAAAUUGCUUCUACAUUUACGAUAGAGUCCAGUGACCAUCUGAAUUACAGUAAAGGUGAUUCUGGACACACCAACAUCCCACCUGGAUCUUUAAGGAGUCACAUCUCGUCUCCAUCCUGUGACCCUCAAAAUUUUUCUUGCAAGACUGAAGUUCUGCAACCUGGGAGAAAACGUUCUAGCAGCCUUUCUUCUGAACUUGACAAAGAAUUUGCUCAUUUACCUGAAGCAGCCUUGAAGUUUCUUUUCUACAGCCCUGUCUCAUGUCCUUCUAGUAUGAACGAACCAUUGAUCCAUCAUGUUGAUUCUCGAAUUCUGAACUCACUUUCUGUUCAGCCAUCCUGGCUUCCAUAUCAACCCAAGGAACCUGUGGGUGGCUGCCCCACACAACUAUGGCCCCACAUCAACCCAGACCGCAUAUGGCCACGUAUUCUCCUCACAGCAAAAUGUGUAUGUGAUGGCUCACAAUGUGCACUACAUGGAACACAUAGAUGUAUUACCAUUAAAGUUGCUGUGGUGUCAUUAAUUAGGGGCUCAAGAGGAGGCAGAGACCAAGCAAGAAAUGUGUGGAGGCAGUGGGAGAUGGUGGCUGUGGGAUGUGUAUGUGCUGAACACAAAUCAGUGUUACUUCAUGAACACAGGCCACGCAUCUAUGUGUGAAUUCUAUAACACUGUACGAGAAGCCAGUGAAGUGAGAAUAUAUUAUUGCCAACAGAAAAUUAUGUAACUUAGUGAGAGUAUCUGAAAUUAGUCAUAUGUGAAAUAUAUGCUUGAUACCGUAAGUGAUUUCCUCUUCUUCUUGUAAGGAGACAUUACUAGAUCCAAAGUAAAAUUUGAGAGACUGUAUAAUAAAUAAUAAUAAUAAAAAAGUAAUUUGAAUAUUAAUAGCAUUAUAAUCUCAUAAGGUCUUCUUCUGUUUCUUCAACUUUGUGCUCUGAUUCAGGAAUAAUUAAGAAAUAGAAAUCAUUAUGACAUUUGGUGGGGCUCAUUGUGCUAGAGAUUGACUUAUCACAAACUUUCCUCUGUCAACUUAUUCUAGAAGAGCAAAUAACUUCUACUUCCUGAUGGUAAAUUACUGAAAGUGGGUGAAUGCGUCCUGGUAAGCCAGGCUGGGUGUGAAACUGAUAACUCACCUACAUUUGGUUCCAAGAUGAAUGCAUGGAACUACACCUGCACUCCCUUAUACAUUUUCAUGGUAUGAUGCUUAAACACAUCGACAGAUUUACCUUCAUUAAUUUUAUCUAGUGUGGCACAUAAAGCUUCUGAAAUGCCUUGUCAUUUGUCAGUCCUUUCAUAUUUCUUAUCUUUGAAAUUAUAAAAUGUUUCAGUACUGAAAGUUUUAUCAAAUUAAGAAUUUACUGCUGCUUAAGUAACCUAUUUUAGUUGCAAAUAUAUUCAUAACUAGUGUAAAAAAAUAAUUUAUUGUGAGAAAUUCCAGGGUGAUUUGAGAUAGAAUCUAUGAAUUUUAUCUUCUACAGGGAAACUAUGCACAUAAACAAAGCACUCAGACUAGUUUAAGUAUAUUUGCCUUUUGAUGGAGCUAUUUCACAAAAAACUUAAUUCUGAAUAUGUAAAUGAUUUUUAAUUGUAUGCCCCUUUGAAAAAGGAACAAAAUUAGGUGAAACAGUACAAUUGUCAUAUAUAUAUAUAUAUAUAGUUUUAACAAUUCAUAUUUCCAAACCUAUAAAUAUACUA